UACGUAGGGUGCAAGCGUUAAUCGGAAUUACUGGGCGUAAAGCGCACGUAGGCGGCUACUCAAGUCGGGGGUGAAAGCCCGGGGCUCAACCCCGGAACUGCCCUCGAAACUAGGUGGCUAGAAUCUUGGAGAGGUCAGUGGAAUUCCGAGUGUAGAGGUGAAAUUCGUAGAUAUUCGGAAGAACACCAGUGGCGAAGGCGACUGACUGGACAAGUAUUGACGCUGAGGUGCGAAAGCGUGGGGAGCAAACAGG
rnacentral:rRNA from 1 species